UGAUAUUUCUUCUGAUAGCUUUAGUC
rnacentral:piRNA from 1 species